GAUGAAGAACGUAGCGAAAUGCGAUAAGUAAUGUGAAUUGCAGAAUUCAGUGAAUCAUCGAAUCUUUGAACGCACAUUGCGCCCGCCAGUAUCCUGGCGGGCAUGCCUGUUCGAGCGUCAUUUCAACCCUCAAGCCCUGCUUGGUGUUGGGGAUCGGCGUUGCCUCCUCCGUCGUUCGCGGCGGGGUGAGGUCGCCGCCCCCGAAAUGAAUUGGCGGUCUCGUCGCAGCUUUCCUUUGCGUAGUAACAUACCACCUCGCAACCAGGAGCGCGGCGCGGCCACUGCCGUAAAACGCCCAACUUUUUCAAGAGUUGACCUCGAAUCAGGUAGGAAUACCCGCUGAACUUAAGCAUAUCAAUAAGCGGAGGA
rnacentral:misc_RNA from 1 species